rnacentral:sRNA from 1 species
AAACCGCCAACAUUUUCUUACUGAUGCAUCAUCCUUUGAAUUUAAUAGCACGCCUGUUAUUCUUCCGUACAAUUCCCUUGAAAAACCUUCUCAGAGCCACAAAAAAAAAUUUUAAAAAAAUUAAAAGUAUUUUGUACACCACAACUUUAUAAUAUAAAUGCUUAUACGGUCAUCUCUUUGAAGCUAUUAGAAUAUGAUUUGGUUAAAAUGACUGGCCAAGCCAAAGACUCUGAACGGGUUUCUCUGAUAAUAGAGUAGAAAUUAACCAAUCAAAAAAACGUUCGGAAUGAUUCUUAGAAUUAUCAGACAAAAAGCACCCUUGCGAGAGAGCUCCACAUGUUGAUUUAAAUUUUGAAUAAUCAGGUCGAUUCCAAGUACAGUCCACAGCAUCGCAACUUUACCCCGCACCUUGAGUCGUUGUCAUUCCGGAGAGGAACGAAGGCUGGCUUGAAAAAAAUCGACCACGCCAUCACCGCCAAAUCACC